AGUGAACGCUGGCGGUAGGCCUAACACAUGCAAGUCGAACGGCAGCACAGUAAGAGCUUGCUCUUACGGGUGGCGAGUGGCGGACGGGUGAGGAAUACAUCGGACUCUACUUUUUCGUGGGGGAUAACGUAGGGAAACUUACGCUAAUACCGCAUACGACCUACGGGUGAAAGCAGGGGAUCUUCGGACCUUGCGCGAUUGAAUGAGCCGCUGUCGGAUUAGCUAGUUGGCGGGGUAAAGGCCCACCAAGGCGACGAUCCGUAGCCGGUCUGAGAGGAUGAUCAGCCACACUGGAACUGAGACACGGUCCAGACUCCUACGGGAGGCAGCAGUGGGGAAUAUUGGACAAUGGGCGCAAGCCUGAUCCAGCCAUACCGCGUGGGUGAAGAAGGCCUUCGGGUUGUAAAGCCCUUUUGUUGGGAAAGAAAAGCAGCAGGUUAAUACCCCGCUGUUCUGACGGUACCCAAAGAAUAAGCACCGGCUAACUUCGUG
rnacentral:rRNA from 1 species